AGGAAAAGAGAUUUCUCUCCCUCACAGCACACAGAGAACUGAAGAGGAACUGAACUGACUGCCCUCAAGUUUUCAUGACAAUGAUCACUCCAGAAAGUCGGGAUCAGAUUUUUCAAAGCAGUCUGACGUGAUUGUGCUUCUAACUUCAACUCCAAAUGAGCUCAACUCAGGAAACUACGAACAAAUGAACAAUAGAAGUUAAAAUUCAUGCACUGACAUCAAAGGUGCGGCAAUUCUGUGUGGCUGCGUCAUCCAGAGACCAUAAAGAAUACACUUAUGCAAGAGCAGGUUUACUAAUAGACUGCAGUUCCUAGGACCCACGCAAAACCUUAAAAAUGCAAAACUUGUACCAUGCAGCAAGAGAAAUCAGUAUUUAUUCAUAGUAAAACUUUCUCUUCUUCCAUCCCUGCAUGAAAAGGAAGAAAUCAAGUAAGCAAGCAAGCAAGCAAGUAAGCAAGAAAGAAUAAAAAGACUACAACACAUUAAAAGUUGCACAGAAAGUCCUGUCCAACAAGGCAGCUUCCAAAUGGCUUCCACAGCAGAUGAACCUUCCUGACAAAACACUGCCUUCAACCUCCUCUUGCAGAUGCACACUGAAAGUCUCAGACACCAAUAAAGGUGUGACCACAGGCCCUUGCACCUGUGCACAUACACACAGAGUGAUCACUUCUUAAAUGUCACACAGAUGGCAGAGAUGAAGACAAAUCAUUCUACCCCAGUUGUCUCUCCAUUACAGAUUCUGGUCUGAAAAAUACUUACGCGUAAUCUGCAUCUCCUCAAAAAUCCUUGACACAUACAUUCAUUAAACAUCUUGUUUCCUAAAAAAUGUUUCUUAUGCACCAGUGCAAUGACUGUAGCUUUUUAUAUGUAAUUAGGAAAAGUAAAUAAAUACCUUUUCAGA